GACGAACGCUGGCGGCGUGCUUAACACAUGCAAGUCGAACGGAAAGGCCCUGCUUUUGUGGGGUGCUCGAGUGGCGAACGGGUGAGUAACACGCGAGUAACCUGCCCUUGACUUUGGGAUAACUUCAGGAAACUGGGGCUAAUACCGGAUAGGAGCUCCUGCUGCAUGGUGGGGGUUGGAAAGUUUCGGCGGUUGGGGAUGGACUCGCGGCUUAUCAGCUUGUUGGUGGGGUAGUGGCUUACCAAGGGUUUGACGGGUAGCCGGCCUGGGAGGGUGGCCGGGCUCCAUAGUACUGAGGUAGGGCGCAGAAGGCAAUCGGCGGCAAGGGGCGGGAGUAUUACACAAUGGGCGGGAGCCUGAUACAGCGGCGCCGCGUGCGGGAUGACGGCCUUCGGGUUGUGAACCGAUUUCGCCGGUGACGAAGCGUGAGUGACGGUAAUGAGUAAAGAAGCACCGGCUAACUACGUG
rnacentral:rRNA from 1 species